UCUCCAAACGAAUCUCCUCAACUUCUUGUCGGCGGCAGAGCCCGGAUUCCUCGACGAGCUACUGCCGCUCCAGCGGGCACGUGCUUUCCUCGUGCUCGCCCAAUCCGCUUCCUCUCUGUUGGCAGCAAGAUUGAGGUGUAGUGGAAUUCGACCAAAUGAUCAUCCUAUCAAAACUGAGAUUGAGAGAUUGAGCUUGUGUGAGGGGAAAUUGGAGCGAUUUGGCAAUUGGAACUAAGCUUGAACAACUUGUUGUCGAAAACGUCCUGGCAUUUAAUGAGGGCUUUUGGAUUCGGCUUGCUGCUCGAACGGACACAUGCAAAUCCGAAGAUGAUAAAGCAUGGUUUUUUACUGGAAGGAUUAUGAGGAAUUGGCAGUGUCUAUAAUGAGCAUAGUUGAUCGCCUGGUUCACAAAACUAAUGAGAAGAUAGAAUCUAAAACAGAUAUACUUAAGGAAAUUCUAAACCCAGUAGUCGCUGAAGCUGAAGAAGUUUCAUGGCCUCCAAGGGAUCCUGAAGCUCUCAUAUUGAUGGAAAAAGUAAAUCACUGGUUUGGAAUUUAUCUAAAUCAAGUUGCCUACCUAUUUCAACAGUAAUACUUACUUUUAAUUAAUACCUUACAUUAGUCCUUAGUUAUGUUCAUCUCAGUGCAGACUCUUAGUUCAAUUCUUACUCUUAAGGAAAAGUUUGAAUUAUUAAUAUGAGACCUGGAUAUACUUCUAUUAUUAAGCGAUAGAGGGUUCAAGAUAACAUAAUAAACAUGGAAAUUGGGAAAUGCUAAUAUGGAUGUGUAGAAGAACUGGAGAACGUAAGUAUUAAACUUGUACAUCAUGUGAGAGUUGGUUUUUGUAGUUGUUGGCAAUAAUGUCUCAGGUGGCAUCAUGUGAAGUGAUGUUCUAUGAGUGCCUUCCAGAUGUGUAAUAAAGAGUUAUGGUGUUCUUAACUGGUCAGGGGUAAUUUUACUCCUAAAAUAAUAUGUAUAAUUUGCAACUGAACAAUUUCUAUUUUGCUAGUAGGAUUUGAAUUGAAACUCAAAAUCAACACCAGAGGAGAGCUUUAAAUUAAGAAGUUUAGAAGUGUUAUAGAGACAUAAUUAUCAUUAGAUGUUUCUUUUCUUUCUGUUGCCUACUAUCUCCAUAUCCUGUACAUCAGUCCAUUGCAAUAUAACAUUUCUUUUCUACCUGCUAGUGCAUUUACCAUGUUAGUCAAUGCUCGAUUAAGUUUCUAAUAGUCUUGACAUA